CCCUCGGACAUCACCCGGUUCAUUGAGACUGGAUGCACCUGUAAGUGAAAGGGCAAAUACAAAACCACAUUUCAAUACCAUUUGCAACAAGAGAGAAUCCGGACUAAACAGUUAGAACUUAAAACAAAUUCGUAUUAGGGGAAAAAAGAAAACAAAUAAACAAACAAACAG